AUUGAACGCUAGCGGGAUGCUUUACACAUGCAAGUCGAACGAGUGGCGGACGGGUGAGUAAUAUAUCGGAACGUGCGCAGGAGCGGGGGUUAACUACUCGAAACAAUUGCUACUAACGCAUACUAUUGCAUCGGCCGUUAUCGGAUUUGCUAGUUGGAGGGGUAAAGGCUCACCAAGGCCACGAUCCGUAGCUGGUUUGAGAGGACGACCAGCCACACUGGGACUGAGACACGGCCCAGACUCCUACGGGAGGCAGCAGUGGGGAAUUUUGGACAAUGGGGGAAACCCUGAUCCAGCCAUCCCGCGUGUAUGAGAAGGCCUUCGGGUUGUAAAGUACUUUUGGCAGAGAAGCGGUAUCUGCAGAAUAAGCACCGGCUAACUACGUGCCAGCAGCCGCGGUAAUUC
rnacentral:rRNA from 1 species